rnacentral:rRNA from 1 species
CCGAGAGGGGGGUUUACGCGCCCCAGGGGUUCUGCCCCGCACCUUUCUACCCUUUGUGUAUUUUCCACUGUUGCUUUGGCGGGUCCCGGGGUUCACGUCCCGGCGCUGGCCUCCUACCCGGGGUUUGCGAGUGCCCGCCGAAGGCCCAUCAAAAUUCUGUUUAUCAGUGCCGUCUGAGUAUACGAAAAUCAAUCAAAACUUUCAACAACGGAUCUCUUGGUUCUGGCAUCGAUGAAGAACGCAGCGAAAUGCGAUAAGUAAUGUGAAUUGCAGAAUUCAGUGAAUCAUCGAAUCUUUGAACGCACAUUGCGCCCUCUGGUAUUCCGGGGGGCAUGCCUGUUCGAGCGUCAUUACAUCCCUCAAGCACUGCUUGGUACUGGGUGCUCGCCCUCCAUUUUGGGGGGGCGCGCCCGAAAUUCAGUGGCGGUCUCGGUGGACUUCAAGCGCAGUAAAUAUUCCGCUUUGGAAGCUUUCCGCCGGUGGCCCAGCCAGCAAAUCAUUUUUACCCCCAAAAUUGACCUCGGAUCAGGUAGGGAUACCCGCUGAACUUAAGCAUAUCAAUAAGCGGGAGGAAA